rnacentral:rRNA from 1 species
UCGAAAGAGAGCCGUAACACAGGUGCUGCAUGGCUGUCGUCAGCUCGUGUCGUGAGAUGUUGGGUUAAGUCCCGCAACGAGCGCAACCCUUGUCAUUAGUUGCUACAUUCAGUUGGGCACUCUAAUGAGACUGCCGGUGACAAGCCGGAGGAAGGUGGGGAUGACGUCAAGUCCUCAUGGCCCUUAUAGGUGGGGCUACACACGUCAUACAAUGGCUGGUACAAAGGGUUGCCAACCCGCGAGGGGGAGCCAAUCCCAUAAAGCCAGUCGUAGUCCGGAUCGUAGUCUGCAACUCGACUACGUGAAGUCGGAAUCGCUAGUAAUCGUGGAUCAGAAUGUCACGGUGAAUACGUUCCCGGGUCUU